ACGAAUAGUCACACGUUCAUAAUAAUUUCUAUUUAAUGUUGAACUGCAAUAAUAAACUCAGUUUGCUAAAUUGAGUCAAAACAUUUUAGGUGCUGCUGAAGCUGUAUGCCAAGGAUUACAAAACACACUUUGAAGCCCUGGUCCUGAAUUACUUGGCUGUAUUUCAGGAGAAGAGACUGCAGCACCUGCUCAUCUGUAGAGCCCAGGCACCCAGUCACUCAGUCAAGGUGGCUGAGAACGAAUUCCUUGGAGUCUGGGACCAGAGGCUGUCAGAGCUGCUGGACAAGAGUGGCGAUUACCUCCAGCUUAAGGAGUGCCUGUCCACUCACCCAGCAGUGGUGUCAGAGGAGCUGAGGGCGUGAGAGAGGAGCAAUGCGGAGGCUGAGUGCUCUAUGCAUGGUCCACUCACCUGGCUCGUCAGCUGUGGAGAGCUUCCUGGCUCGUCAGCUGUGGAGAGCUUCCCGCGGCAGAGCUGGCCCGGCGCUCUGCCGUGGCACAGGCCAACACAUGGGCUCUCCAGGGAUUGUGAGAUGAGCACCGUGGUCUGCUGAAAGAGCUAGGUGUGGUCCGAGCACAGGCUGACAGUCAGCUGAAAGAAGAGCGGAGUAAGACCUUUACUCUACUGCAGAUACUGGAGAAUGCCCCAGUCAAGACUGAAGCUGACCAGCUGAGGGACAACCAGCAUCUUGCCAUGCAAUGUCAGCAGUUGGAGGGAGAAAUCAAGGUUCUGGCCAAGAGAAGAGCAUCACCUAGUGCUCUUGAGCUUGAAAAGCUGAAUGCUAAAGUUGUGAAGGUGGAGAUGACUGUAUUGUCCUCUAAACACCAAGAAGAGUUACUGAGGAUGACCACGCUCCGAAACCACAAGGAGGACGCUCUGAGGACGCUGAAGGAGACUCUGAGAAGAUCACAGCAGGAGGGAGAACAGUUAUUUAAGUCUGCCCCAGACAAUAUUAAGAAUAGAAUUUGAAAUGACCACAAAACAACAGGUGAAUAGUUAUGAGCCCUAAUUGAGAUGUUUGUUAUUGCAGUCAUGGGGGGAGAGGAUCUGCAUGCCAGACUGACAACCACCAGAGGACGUACGGUCCAAAGCAACAUUCUCCUUGAAAAGAACAAACUUGAGGAAGUGAAACGGCUACAAAAAAAUAAUUUCUGAAUUGGUGAGCCGUCUUUCCACUCAGCAAGGAGAUAUUUCCAAGUGGAAGGCUAGAGCAGUUAAGCUGAAGGAGAGGAGGGACGUGGUUGAAACACCUCCAUCUGCAUGUACUCAUACAAAACGACGCCUUCCCAUGACUUCUGAGGACCUCAACUCUCCCAUGAAGUUCCUUCACUCUCCCAAGAAGUUCCUCGACUCACCCAAGAGAAAGUUCUUUGAUGUCCGUCCAGGCUCUGAAUGUCGAUUAACUGUCCCAAUCCGUUUUUUGAUAACUCCAACCUUGGAACCGUUCAAGAUGCAACUGUGGAUUAAAAAGGAGGAAUGGUGGCCUGUCACCAAAGCAAGCUGAUCUAUGCAAACAGCAGUAAAUGAUUUACCUAAAUUGCACUAAUCAUUCAUUGUUUAUCUAUUUUUCAAUAUUCAAAGUGUUUGUUUUCGAUAGCCUUAUAUUUUAAAAUAAAGAGCAGUUUAUUUUAAUAAGACUCAUCUUUACCUGCUCUCUAUGUAAUAGCACUUUCAGAUGUUCUGACAGCAGAUGGCAUGCUUACACCAUUUUGUUUGAGAAUGUUUUAUUUUGACAAUGAUGGAGGAUUUUAAACUUGGUGUCUAUGCAAAGUGGUCUUGAUGUUCAGUUUCUCCCAUUAAUAAUUUUCAGACUAAUGCUUUUACAUUUUUAACCGUAGAUUGCAGUUUUUGAGGAUAUUGUACAUUCAUGGGACUUUCAUGACUCCUCAUUGGAGUUAAAUUAAAUUUUUGAAGAUGGAACAAUUGGGUAAUUAAGCUAUAUGGCAGAAUUAAACUCAGAAUUAUUCUAAAUAACUGUAUUUGCCUGUAUGUUGUGCAGGUAAACAGGAGGCCUGACUCAGUCCACUUAGACUUGGGUCUCAGUAGCUGCCCCACGGCUACAUUCUCUUGGUCGCUUCCUCUGCAUGGCUUCACAUUUCAUUUAAGAGGGUGCAGUAACCGCAUUCUUCCUGUUCUCUCUGUUGGGAUUACUGUAAGAAGGGUACUGUGCCUUCAGAAGGAGAACUGGCACCAUGGUAAAUAACCUUUAGAGUUCUGUAGCACAUCAUCAAAGGUAAUUUGAUCACAGGUUCCCAAAUGGAAGGGAAUUAAGUGAUGUUUUCUGACUGCCUGGCAAAGUAAAGAAGACAGAUCUUAAGAUACACGGAAUGCAUUACUUAAUUUGUACUCCAAGACAUUCCAGUGACUGAGCCCUGCAUACUUAUCAUGCAGUAGUUUUCUGUAACCUAAUGACUGCACCAGCUAAAGACACGACCGAUUGGGUUUGAAAGUGCCACAAGACUGGUAGACUUCUGAGCUGAAGUCUCUGCAUUACCUUUGAGAGUUAACAGGUUCAGGCAAGAUUAUUCAGUACACAUGUGCUCCAAAAGUUAUUUUCAUUAAACAUUGUGAUGCCAUCGAGGCUGAAAUACUUUAUUUACCAAAACCUCUAGCCGGAGAGGAGUAGUGGUUUUCAUUAUUUCACAAAUAUCAACAUACAGUAACUCUCAAAUCUGGAAAUGGAAGAGCUGAAGUCUGCACUCAGAUUAUCAACAAAAUACACUUUUCCCAAGCUUCUCUUGUACACCUAACUCAUUAAUAGUAUUAUCAAGACUUGAUAUCUUUUGAUACAUUUGUUCCAAGGAUAUCACAAUAUUGAUGGUAAAUAGGUUUGCCAGUUUUCUACAGGUUUUUUCUUAUGUAGGCUAUACAAGAAGAAGACGGAACACAAUUGUUCAGAAAAAGAACAAAGUCCUUGUGAAGAAGUUCAAGAAUAAAGGGAGACCUUCUUAAAAGGGAAUUACAGUCUCAAUACUGAAUCAGACAUUCCUCAAGCACAAGUUGUCGGAGUAGCCCUCAUUGCAAUUAAAGUAAGCAAAAGUGUCAAAGUUUGAACCUCUCCCAGCAGCCCACCUAAUUGCUGAGGUGGCUUGUUUCAUCUAAUAGUAUUAUUUGUAUAUUUCCAUAAUGUGUUACAGUGGGAAUCAUCCAGGACAGGUCUUUCCCUUGUUCAAUUAUUCAGGGCUCAGUCACAGACAGUCAUUAAAGUUUCAUGGGAGGCAAUUUGGAGGCAGUGCUGGUUGCUUUAGAAAACAAAAAGCC